AGGGUUUGAUUAUGGCUCAGGAUGAACGCUAGCGGCACGCUUCAUACAUGCAAGUCGAGGGGCAGCAUAAAGUACUUGUACUUUGAUGGCGACCGGCGAACGGGUGCGUAACGCGUAUGCAACUUACCUUUUACUAGAGAAUAGCCAAGAGAAAUUUUGAUUAAUGCUCUAUACUCUUUUUAACUCACAUGAGUUUUUAAGAAAAGCUCCGGCGGUAAAAGAUGGGCAUGCGUCCUAUUAGCUUGUAGGUGAGGUAACGGCUCACCUAAGCUCCGAUAGGUAGGGGUCCUGAGAGGGAGAUCCCCCACACUGGUACUGAGACGCGGACCAGACUCCUACGGGAGGCAGCAGUGAGGAAUAUUGGGCAAUGGAGGCAACUCUGACCCAGCCAUGCCGCGCGCAGGAAGGAUGCCCUAUGGGUUGUAAACUGCUUUUAUUUAGGAAUAAACCUCUCUACGUGUAGAGAGCUGAAUGUACUAAACGAAUAAGCACCGGCUAACUCCGUGCCAGCAGCCGCGGUAAUAC
rnacentral:rRNA from 1 species